GGUUUACAUGUUAACGUAUAUCGGCAGUCAUGUACACACGAGAGGUUGGCUGGAGUGGAAUACAACAUUUGCUUUAGAUACUCUAUACUACGGUGAAUAUUUGAACUCGGGUCCCGGGUCGAACCUUUCGCAACGUGUGAAUUGGCCAGGGUAUCGUGUCAUCAAUUCGACGGCUGAGGCAAACCGGUUUACGGUGACGGAGUUUAUAUAUGGUUCAUCGUGGUUACCUUCAACUGGGGUUUCGUUCUUGGCCGGAUUAAACAUUUAGGUAAAGGAAAAUAAAAUGAUUUUCUUUCCGAUGCAUUGUUUCAUUCUUGCGUCCAUAUAUUAAUGGACAUAUAUGAUUAAUCCUUUCCUAUACAAUUUAACUUUUUAAUUGUAUGAUUUCGGGAUAUAUAUAUUAUUCAAUAAGAUCGUGACUCGAGGAUAAUUUACAUUUGCAAUAUUCUUUUCGGUGGUACUAAUUAUAUAAUUCGGUGUGAUGAAGUAAUCGUUGGAUGUUCUGUGACACAGACUAGUUUGAUUUUACAUAUAUUUUGAAUAGAAAUAUAAUGUUUACUUUAGAAAGAAAUAUAAAGUGAAACUUUAGUGUUUUUUUUUGUGUGUCAAUAAGAAGGUCCAGCGACGUCAAAUUUUUUGAACCGAUUGAAUGUUUUGAAAAUUUUAGCGAAUAUCAAACAUGCAUUGUUUAUAAAAAUAACUAAUUAAAAAGGGGAGAAAUGGAGGCGUCGGUGCCGGUACGAACCAAUGUGACUGAAAUCAAUAUGGUCACAGCACAGAACCGACACCGACUGUGGGGUCCACGAUUUUGGGAACUUUAGUUCCAAUAAUUCGAGAACCGAUUAACUCACUAUGCAGCAAUAAUACCAAACACCAACAUGUUCUCUUACGUUAUGCAUUAUAAUUCGUUCUGAUUUAAACUAAGAAAGUAUUAUAUAACAAAUUGUUGACUUAAGAUUAGCUACUUAUAAAUGUAAUAAACUAUUUUUAAAUCUAUUAAGGUCGACAAACUAGAGUUUUUGAAUCAGUUAUUGUUACACCAAUCAACUAUUUAAUCUAAUUUUUAACUCUCCUAUUGUCUCCAAUCAAUUGUUGUAUGAUCCAUAGGUGUUUAGUAGAUAGUUAAUCUACAAGUUAAUGUGGCUAUACAACUGCUUCUAGAUAGCUAUUUUGUUGGAAAUUCCUUUAUUCACGUGUUUAAACGAAUAUAUCUACUGAAAUUCAAUUCUACUUAAUACUUGAUUGGUAGAGCAUUAGCAUAAGCAUUAUGUUCCUUAUUAUCUUAUCAACAUUUAGCACAUAAGUAUUUAGAAAAACAUUUACAUGAUGCUAAUGCUCUCCAAAUGCUCUUUUUGCUCAAUGCUCUCAUUUGGAGCUUUUGGUAGAGCAUUUGCAGUUAGAAUAUAUAAUUUUUUUAAAAAAAUUAUAUAUAAUUAAUUUAUUUUUGUUUAAUAUUAUAAAAAAUUAUGUUUAUAAUAAAAAAACAAAAUUUGCUUUAAAAAAAAUAAAAGUUGCAAUUAAAUUUUUUUGAACUUUUUAAAAAGAACAAUAUUUCACAUUUAAAGUAUAAUAUAAUUUAAAUAAUUACACGUAUCAUUCAUUAUUUUUAAUAACAAAACAUAACAUAAUAUAUAUUUAUAUAUUGCAUAUUAUAAAAUAAAAAUAUCUAUAUUAUUUAGAAAUAAGUAAAUUAUAUAUCACUUAUUAAUUUUUACGAUAAUAUUAUAAUUUAUUUGUUUUGAAUAAAUUUUAUAUUUUAAAUAAAUUUUAUAUUUUAAAUAAAUUUUACAUUUUUAAGAAAAUAAUAAUUCACAUUUAAAAAUUAAUUUAUAUAAUUAAAUAAUAUUUAUUAUUUUUAAUAACAAACAUAUUAUUUCAAAAUAAAUAUAUCAUAUAUUAACUUUUGUGGUAAUUUUAAAAUUGCAUAGUGUUUCUGCUCAACCAGUCAGUUUAUUAAAAACUUUAAUGAAAGCAUGCAGCUUCUGCAGCAUACUGCUUAUACAACAUACUGCUACUGCUUUAUCAUCUGCUGUACCAAACGAGGCCUAAGUGGCGUUUCAUAAUGUUAUAAGAUUAGCUAUGGAUCGGAUGAUACGACGUUGCUGAUCUAACCGAUGACAAAAAAAAGUUUAGAAAUUCAAAAAUAUUUGGGGAAAAUACCAACACAAUUUUAUUUGAUACAAAACAAACCAUUUUGGUUAUUUAAGGUGCCUUAGUCAAAAUUUAAUAAUUUUUUUACUCACAAAACAUGUAAUAUGAUCACCAAUUCCCAAUUGAGCUUUUCUUCUACACACUUUAUCGUUAUAAUGUAUAUGGAUCGAUGAUGUGAAAAUAUGAUAAAUAAAAAAAAGUAAUAAAGAAUAAAUAUGAUUCACUAAAUCAGUUUUACAUACGGAAAAAGAAAGGUUUUAUAAUUAGAGACAUUAUAUUUUUUGAUACAUUAAUUUUUUUUUUGGUAAAAUGUUAAAUAUUAUUACAAAUUUUCAAAUUUUGACAAACAAUACAAAUAUAUCAAAUGAUGGAAAGAAAUAAAAACAUACUGUAACAACAGAGGAACAUACUGAAAGCAACGGAAACUGAAGCAAAUAAGUGGUCUAAUAACGAGAGAGGUUCAGACCUACCAAUCAUGAUGGUUGCAGUGAGCUACUAAGAGAGGGGCACCCUCAAACCCUGAAUGCAACAGUUUAUACAAAUUCCAACAAGAGCCCAGAGCUUACCGAACGAAGAAUCCAAGCACAAACAAGUCUAAAGCAUACCCGAAAAUAGAGACCACUAGUGUAUAGGAGAAGUCGUAAACUGACGAUGCUCUCGUUCAGCAUCUUGUGCCAAAGAUUACCGCUUUCUACUGACGAGAUAUGAAACUUGAUACAUUAAAAUUAUCUUGGAUAAGUGUUCUAGUAACCAAUUUUUAGAACAAUUAUUGUUAACAGAUACAUAGAUCUAAAACCAAUAAAAAAAUUCAAACUGAAAUUUAACAUAUACAUUUGGACAACUAUUUGACACAUAAACCAAAUCAAUCAUUCUAGUUCAGUAACUUUUUGUUUAAUCUACUGCUCAUUAUGUGCAGCUUAUUUCAUCUCAAAUUUCUUGUUUUAAUAUCCUUUGUUCAAGAACAAGUUAAAAAAAAAAAAUCAUAGUAAAUACAGUGGAUCGCGGCCCACAUAAAGGCCCAUAUGUUAAUGGUUAGAAGUUAGCCUUCCUUACUGUCUUUUCUCUAUCCCCACGCAGAAACAUGGUUAUCCCAGUUACCAAACAAAGCACACAAAUUCAUCAUCCCCAAACCAAACCCACACUCUUCUAAAACCCUAACAAGUUCCUCUUUUACCUCUCUCACUGAGGACCCAUCAUUUUGAACCAUGUCGAUCGCUAAAGCCGCCUUCUUCAACCACCUGCAAACGCUCGCGAGAGCCUACCGCCCUCGCCUACCGCCGCCGUUUUCCGCCGUCCGUUACAUGUCUUUCGCGACGCAAGAAGAAGCCGCCGCGGAACGUCGCAAGCGCAAGCGCCGUCUCCCGUUACUCAAACAAAUCCAUUUGGUUGUUAGUUUGAAACUUAUUUUACAGAUUUAAAUUUGUUCAGACUUUUAAUGCUUCGUAGUUCAGUUACUGUUUUUGUAUUGGAUUUUCAGUAUGAUUCUGAAGUUUGGUUAGGUAACACACUUACACUGAACCGCACAUCCUAUGUGGUACUGCCGCUUAUCCAACCAAACUCACAUGCAUGUUGUUGUGGUCUUAAUGUGCAUUGAGUGCAGUCUACUCUACUCAAAUCAUACAACAUUCUUUGGUAAAACAAAGUUUAAAUACAUUACACUCAUCUAGAACUCAUUUAUAUAUCCCACAUCCAAGUACGUACAUCAGUAAAUGCAUGCAUGUUCCAUAUAUGCUAAUUUGUAUGCAUAUUCAAAUCUUCAUGUAGGUAUGUAUGCAUACUUAUAUCAUAUAUGCAUACGCAUCUAGAUAGAUAAAAAAACUCACAUGGAACGCAACCUAAAGUUGGAGGUACGCCGCGCAAUUACUGACCCACAAAUUGGUACAUAUAUAUACACAUUCAUGAUGGGGAGACAUAGAAGAGUUGCAUUUAUUUAUAUAUAUAGUUGGAUGUAGGUCAUUGCUAAUAUUGUGGUUGGACGCGUUAGAGAUCACUAGUUUCAUUAACAUUUCUAUGUAAAGACAUUUCUCAAAUACUAGUCUUUGAUUUUAAGUAAUAUAAAUCCAAUUUUUGUUUUUGUUUCAGUUCAUUUGUUGAAUCUAUAUUUAGAGAUAAACUAUUAUUGAUUUUAAGUAAUUACAUUGGUUUCUUAUGUUUAAUAAACUUAGAGUUGUUAAAACACAAAAACAUAACUGUGUUUCUUGUUUUGUUUUCCAGCUGCGACCGGAGCCGGUUUUAUUGCAAGAGACAUAACAUUCGAAAACUGGGCCGGUCCGGCAAAGCACCAGGCAGUUGCUCUCCGCAUUGGGGCUGACCAUGCGGUGAUAUAUCGAUGCAAUAUAAUUGGUUACCAAGACACACUAUACGUCCAUUCAAACCGCCAAUUCUUCCGUGAAUGUGAUAUUUACGGUACAGUCGAUUUCAUUUUCGGUAAUGCAGCCGUGGUACUACAAAACUGUAGCAUCUACGCACGCAAACCCAUGGACCUUCAGAAAAACACAAUCACGGCUCAAAACCGGAAAGAUCCGAACCAAAACACCGGAAUAUCGAUACAUGCGUCUAGGGUUUUGGCCACCCCUGAUCUCCAAGCGACCAAUGGUACCAUCCAGACGUAUCUAGGCCGACCGUGGAAGCUAUUCUCUAGGACGGUUUACAUGUUAACGUAUAUCGGCAGUCAUGUACACACGAGAGGUUGGCUGGAGUGGAAUACAACAUUUGCUUUAGAUACUCUAUACUACGGUGAAUAUUUGAACUCGGGUCCCGGGUCGAACCUUUCGCAACGUGUGAAUUGGCCAGGGUAUCGUGUCAUCAAUUCGACGGCUGAGGCAAACCGGUUUACGGUGACGGAGUUUAUAUAUGGUUCAUCGUGGUUACCUUCAACUGGGGUUUCGUUCUUGGCCGGAUUAAACAUUUAGGUAAAGGAAAAUAAAAUGAUUUUCUUUCCGAUGCAUUGUUUCAUUCUUGCGUCCAUAUAUUAAUGGACAUAUAUGAUUAAUCC
rnacentral:lncRNA from 1 species